rnacentral:rRNA from 1 species
AGUGAACGCUGGCGGUAGGCCUAACACAUGCAAGUCGAACGGCAGCACAGUGAAAGCUUGCUCUUACCUGAGGCGAGUGGCGGACGGGUGGGAUGUCCAUCGGACUCUCCUUUUUCGUGGGGGAAAUCGUAGGAAAGCUUGCGAUAAUAGCGCAUAGGACCAACGGCAGAAAGCAGGAGAUCUUGGGCUCUUGCGCGCUGGUGUGAGCCGAUGUGGGAUUAGCUAGUAGGUGGGGUAAAGGCCCACCAAGGCGACGAUCCGUAGCUGGUCUGAGAGGAUGAUCAGCCACACUGGAACUGAGACACGGUCCAGACUCCUACGGGAGGCAGCAGUGGGGAAUAUUGGACAAUGGGCGCAAGCCUGAUGCAGCCAUGCCGCGUGUGUGAAGAAGGCCUUCGGGUUGUAAAGCACUUUUGUUGGGAAAGAAAAGCAUAAGGUUAAUACCUCGCUGUAUUGACGGUACCCAAAGAAUAAGCACCGGCUAACUCCGUG